AUUGAAUGAAUGAACUGAGAAGGGGAAUGGUCAGAGAGAUAAGGGUAAGUACUGGUGGAAUGAAGAGGGCAGAACCCAGAUGGAAUGUAAAGACGUUGAAGGAGAGAAAAUGGAGGCACAGAGUGUAUACAACUCAUUUGAGGAAUUUGGACAGGAAUGGGAGCCAGGGAUCUAUGAUUUUAGAGGCCAAAGGAAUACAUAUAAGGUUUGUUUUAUUUUUUGUUUUUUGGUUUUUUUUUUCAGUUUAGGGGAGACAAAAGUAUAUGUGAAAGCAGAAGAGAUGGAGCCACCAGUGAGUGAAUGGUUGAAUGUGGAGGUCAAUGGAGGGAGGAAAAGCAAGGGCAAGUGUGUUUAGAAGUGCACCUUGCUGGUCUGCCUGUUGGAGUUAUCGCUCAGUUUUCAGCUGAGAGGAAAUAUGAGGGAUUGAGCAUGCUGCCUCCACAAAAUGAAGAAUAAUUGGCUACAACUGUGGCAGUUACUGUGACUAUCCUGCUGAGCUGAAAAAAGCCCCAAACUGUGCUCUUGAAACCACAGGACUCAAUGGCUUUUAUUUUAUUAUUGUAUUUAUCCCUAUCCUGGUCUUUUAAGCUAUAUUGUGUUCUGAUUGUUUAGUUUUUUCUUUAUGUUUCUGUCACCAGUCCCCUUUCCUCCUUUUUUCUUAGACUGCAAACCACAGGAGGGCCAAGGACCCCGUUGAAUUCUCACUCAGUGCAUUCUUUCCCAGUGCUUAUUACAGUACUUUUCUCACCAUUAAA